GGGUGGUAGUGUAACCACGUGAAAUGGGUUGACACGGACUCAUAAUCCUUUUGUCGUGGGUUCAAGUCCCACACGCCCCACCA
rnacentral:tRNA from 1 species